rnacentral:tRNA from 1 species
UCCCUGGUGGCUCAGAGGUUAAAGCGUCUGCCUCCAAUGCAGGAGACCGAGGUUCAAUUCCUGGGUGGGGAA